UGGGGAAUUUUGGACAAUGGGCGCAAGCCUGAUCCAGCCAUGCCGCGUGUGGGAAGAAGGCCUUCGGGUUGUAAACCACUUUUGUCAGGGAAGAAACGGCCUGAUCUAAUACAUUGGGUUAAUGACGGUACCUGAAGAAUAAGCACCGGCUAACUACGUGCCAGCAGCCGCGGUAAUACGUAGGGUGCGAGCGUUAAUCGGAAUUACUGGGCGUAAAGCGUGCGCAGGCGGCUUUGCAAGACAGAUGUGAAAUCCCCGGGCUCAACCUGGGAACUGCAUUUGUGACUGCAAGGCUAGAGUACGGUAGAGGGGGAUGGAAUUCCGCGUGUAGCAGUGAAAUGCGUAGAUAUGCGGAGGAACACCAGUGGCGAAGGCGACUGCCUGGACUCCAACUGACGCUGAGGCGCGAAAGCGUGGGGAGCGAACAGGAUUAGAUACCCCAGUAGUCCCUGAGCGGGCUGGCAAGGCGCAU
rnacentral:rRNA from 1 species